ACAACGUUGUGCUCACGCGUCAUCGGAGAAACGGUAAAAGCUGUCUAAAAACGCUCUGAACAGCGACGUGUGUGUGUGUAUAUCGAGCUGGAGAGCAUGCUAGCUGAUGGCUAACACUUAAAUUAGCGCCCUUGGAACGGCGGAAUGAGUUUUCACGGUACUUAUGGUACACGUGCUGGUCGAGAGUGAGAAUAAAUCACCACCUGUUUGAAACUCUGCGUCUUGCUGAAUGAAUCCAAGGGGCCGCUACAGAUACUUCAGACAACAACUUUUGUCUUUUGCACCCUUCAAUUGCUACAUCACGAAAGGUAACACGCUCACCUGUUUCUUGCUGUGACCACAAGCACACCAGGCAUAGCGUUUCCCAGCAGACACCUUCACUCUGUAGGGCAGCCGGGCAGCAGGGACGGGCUGAGUGGACUGGAGACAGAACUGGACCUGGAGACAGAAACCAGAAGUUAACCCAGAACACACAGGUGGAAGCUGAAUUAGUGAGGAUGACUCCUGCUCCUGUCAUCUCUAAGCUCCUCACACAUCUUUACCUGCACAUGAGGAAAAUCACUCCUGUAGAAUGCAGGGUGGGUCCUACCUAGACCAGGCUGAUCCUGGACCAUCCCACAGAUGCUCAAUCAGAUCUGGAUGUGGGGAGUGUGGAACCCAGAUGUUCAGAGGGAGAUGAUGCCACAUCUGGUCCAGCCGAUCGAAGGUCUUGAAGUUCUCUGACUGGCCUCGACUGAAGAUGGUCGUCUCACUGGAUUUAAGGUUCAGAUGCUCAGUAACAAACUCCACCAAUGUGCCAACAGGGAAGCUUUAGGUUUAUUAAAUGUUGCUAUGAAGGUAUCACUGUUUUUCUUUGUGAGUGCAAUGUGCUCCAACUGAAAGUUGAAUUAGAAGUUAGAAGUAAAUCCUUCCAACUGAAAGGAUUUAGUUGCAUUAAUAACAUCAUAACAUUCUAAUUUUUAUUCCAGUCUUGGCUGGAAAUAGAAUCUCUGUAUUGAUUCAGGUAAAAACUGAACUUCACAGCAUGUUGGAGCAAAACAACCAGAUGAAAACUGUGAUGGUGUUGGAUUAUCAGACCGUAAUGUUGCAGCUCAAAGCAGCUUUUCUAGCUCAGUUCAUUCUGACAUUCAGCUAUGAAUCAACACAGCAGAUGGUGAUCCAUGCUGUGGAAGUCUCACAUCUCCUGAUUUAAUGCAGCUGCUUUGCAAUUUUUACACUGUUUAUUCACCAACACUUUAUUUAAUAAAAGUCCCAUCUAGUUUUCAUGAGGAAUGUGAUAUUUUAAUUUCUCUGUGAAUAACUGCAGUCUAAUGUAACAGCUGGAGUUGUAACAUCUGUCCUUCUAUCUCAGAGAGGACCUGCUUCUUGGUAUAAUUCCCAGCUGCAGACUUUAAAGGAGGCGUCCCGAAAGCUGGAAAGGAAGUGGUAUUCAACUAAUUUGGAGGAAGUUUUUGUAGUUUGGAAAAAUAGUCUAGUAAUUUAUAAAAAAGCUCUUCGUAAUGCCAGGACAACAUAUUAUUCAUCUUUAAUAGAGGAAAACAAGAACAACCCCAGGUUUCUCUUCAGCACUGUAGCCAGGCUGACAAAGAGUUGGAGCUCUGUUGAACCUUGUAAUACAUAAAUGUGUUAAAUAAAUACAUCAUUAAAUAAUUGUCAUUAAAUAAAAUUGGAAUUAAAUGUCAUUAAUUAAAAUUGGAAUUAAAUACAUAAAUGUGUUAUUAAAUAAAUACAUCAUUAAAUAAUUGUCAUUAAUUAAAUUGGAAUUAAAUGUCAUUAAUUAAAAUUGGAAUUAAAUACACAAGUGUGUUAUUAAAUAUGGCAUUAUAUUCAUUAAAAUACCAAUUCAUUUAAAAUAAAAAACAUAUAUUAUUAUUUCACUAAUUCAUUAUUUCAUGGUCCUUUGUUGCAGUGGAUCAUGAAUUUAUUUUAUGUCAACCUCGCCCGUCAAAGUCGGUGGGCGGAUCCUAACACCUGAUUGGUUACCCUGCACAUCAAGUCAAGGCAAAUCGAUUCCAGGUAAUGGAUUGAUGCAGAGCUUGUGAACACAUUCCGAUACACUGGGUGGCGCUGUUCACCUCUACGUUGAUUUGGAUACUCUAUUAAACAAAACUUUAUUGGCAACCGCUAAAGACUCGGUCCUCUACCCCAAAUGUUGAUACAGCGCGGUGCAAGACAGAAUUUCGUUUAGCACCUACUCGGCUCUGUACGGCUCGCCACGGCUCGCCACUACUGUACUGGACUCGGCUUGUCUCGGUUUAGUUGUUUUUCCAUCACAUUGAGUACCACCUCAUCGUGGGUGGAGUCGUCAUAGCACGGCGGCCCGAAAGUCCCUUACCGUCAUUUGUGUGCGACACAAACGCAACACAACAAUGGACGUGGAGGCGAUGGUUCACCUGCUGCUCGGUCUGUGGCUUUCUGUCAGAUUCAAAGUAAUAGAAGAGUCGGAGAAAGCUGAGAGCGGCGAGUCGAAACACUCAUGAGACACACAGGAGAGUUUGGGAGGCGAUGCAGCAGUAUCAAACCGAAGACAAGAAGAUAUGAACUAUGAUAUGAGGAUGCUCUCUUAUGAGACUUCAUGGGAUUUACCUGAAGCAGCAGCACAUGAGCCUGCAGUGGCACAAGGUGUAGAGGAGGAGGGCAGAGAUGUACAGGAUGCAGUACGUGUCAUGCAAAAGUUAAGUUAUUGUUCUUGUUAUACUUCUGUUUUUCAGUCCACGGACCGCUAUUGUUUUUUUGAAUGCAAUUCUGACAAUAAUCUUUUGUACCUUUUGCAGAUGUGUCUAUGCUAUUGUUUGUUUUAUUUGUGAAGAUUCGCAAGAUUAAAUGAGAAAUUAAAUGCCAAAACAUUAAAACCGCUGUUUUAAGAAUAUUCCAGUUUGAUAAAUCAGUAUUGCUUUGGUGUAAUUCAGUCAACGGAAUUAUGAACCAUAAAGGAGUUUGUGUUAAAACAUGUUAAAUCCCAUUAAACACAAAUACAUUAGGGAAUACAGAAUUGUUUGGUUCAGACUGUUGACUCUUUUCCUACCAGUGUCAAAACUAUUUAAAAUGUGCAAAGUACAAACUGUGGUGGGCCUCUCCUACAGUGGAGGGCUAAAAGUAAAACUACAUACAACUACAGGUGCUGGGGUCCGUUUCACGAAGCAGGUUCAACAAACUCUGAGUUUAACCCUGAACUCUGAGUUGAUCUACUCUGAGAUAGAAAACUCUGAGUUUUCAGUUUCACAAUGGCUGAUUUGAGUUGGUUUAAUCAGCUCGGGAGUAGUUUCGCCCGGAGUCAAGCGUGUGCACCACAACUCUGAAAAGCCAGUAUCAAUGGAGCACGAGUCACCAUGGCAACGGGGAAGCGGAGGACGACGCCGUUUGAACUGGAAAUCUUAAUGCGCUUAUAUAGCGAGUUUGAACAUGUUUUUAGAAAGAAGUGCAACACUACUGCAGCUGCAAAAGAGAGGGAGACGGCAUGGGAGAACAUUGCUGCCCGGGUCAAUGCAUAAGUUUAAAUCACAAUAAUAUUACAGGGGAAAACUGUUUGAAUGGUAGCCUAUUAAGUUAUUUCAUUUAGGUGCAAUCCCGCGGGGGAGAAGCGCAUGUGGCAGGAGCUUAAGAUGAAAUAUAAAAACACUUUUAAAAUAGGUAAGACGUCAGCAUAAUCUAAUGGAGCUACCUCAUUUUGAUCAGGUGGCUGUUUGACUGUGCAGUGGUUUUAUCCCACACAGAGCCUAAAUGUCUGCAUGCGUAUCAUAUUCUGUUAAAUAAUUAAGCCUAUUUAAACUAACAAAGACUUCUACUCAGCCAACGUGUGUAUAUAUAUAUAUAUGUGUGUGUGUGUGUAUAUAAAUGUAUACAUAUAUAUAGAGAGAGAUAGAUAUAUAGAUAUUUUUUUUGAGCAUGUUCAUACAAAUAUUUAUUUCUCUUUUGUGUCUUUUUUUCUUUCAGCCCAACAGAUUCUGAUGGUGCUAUCUGCCUGGUGGAGCCCUUCAUGCCACAACAGACCUUGUAACUGUAAGUAGGCAAUACUCCAAAGAUUUUGCCAAAUGGGCAAUUAAGGAGGUGAUGGAGAUCAGGAGGCGGGCGGAGAGAGCCAUGAACAGGGACAAGGGAGGCUUCAUGCUCUCCCACACCUGGGACACCAUACUCCAGAGGAAAUAGGACGGCGGGGGAUGCGGCAUGCUUGGUGGGAUGGUCGGUCCGUUGGGCUCACCACGACAUGCCAUUACGGCAUGGGCGUGGUUGGCCCGGCGCAUCUGGCGACUACUGGGCCAAAAAUGCCGGCGGUCAAAAUCUGCCGGCUGACACGUCAUGCUGUCAGUGAGACGCUUCUGAGGAAGGUCAGAGUGUUUGCCGAAACUGUCAAGCAGGUAAAUAACAUCUAUCCAUUCACCUAAUGUCUGAACAAUAGAAUCAGAAACUAAAGUAUCAACAAGAAGACAUGAUGAACGUUUUUGAGCGAGAACAGUUUAUGUCCAGGGUGAGUGGGGUCUCUGAUGAUGUUUUCUGCAGUCCGUACUAUAGGCUGUAGUCUGAUUCUGUCCUGCUGUGUGGCUGAUCCAGAGGUGCACAGGACAGAUUGGAUGACUGCAGUGUAGAACUGGAUCAACAGCUCCUGUGGCUCCUCCAUGUCUCCUCAGCUGUCAUAGGAAAUACAUCUUCUGAUGAGCUUUUUUCAGGAUGGAGUAGAUGUUCGUCUCCCACUCCACGUCCUGAGAGAUUGUAGUCCCCAAGAGCUUGAAGGACUCCACAGCUGUGAUGUGAUGUGUUUAGCCACCUGUCCACUGAUUUUCAAUCAUGAUCAUGUCUUUGAUACUUUUACUUUAAUAAAUUUUUGGUACUCUUUACUUUAACUGAAGCACAAACAGUACCUCCUCCACCACAACUAAAAACAACAUGGUGUGAACUUCAUUUCAUCCUGUGCACAUUUUGGAGUUGCUAAGAACAGCUGUGUUUUCUUAUUUCUAUGUAUACUUUCAUCCAGUCAUUCAGUUUCACAAUUACCUAGUGACUAUAAGAAGAAUGGUUGCAAUACUACACUACACCAGAACGUAAAUUAAUUGGAGUGACUUACUUGUAAAGUCAUGUGUUCUGUUCAUGUGUCACUGCAGGUACAUGUAGCUUUCAUCAGGCAUUCCUGAGCUGGCAUGCUGCACAGUUUGCAUUUACACCUGCCUGAAUUCUUGGUCAUUGGUCUCGCUGUUCUGAUCAUGCUAGGGUGACCCCACACACCCGUCCCACAACCUCUUCAGCCUGCUGCCAUCAGGGAGGAGACUGAAGAAUCUGAGGACCAGGACCAGCCGACUGAGCAACAGCUUCAUCCACCAGGCUGUCAGGAAGCUGAACUCUCUGCCCUCUCUGCCCUCUCUACCACCCCAUUCCCCCACAUACACAAACUCUGGUCAAUAACCUCUGAUCUGCACUGAAAUAGCACAUUCAACCGUCAAGCGUAUUUGCAUUUCUUGGACUGUUACUUAUUUGCACUAUUCUGAGUAUUCUGCACUAAAUCCCUCACUUUAUCUCAUGGUCAUGUAUACAUUUCACUCAGUUCUGCUUUUCUUAUUUCUUAGUUGUUGCUUGGCUCUAAUUUUGCUUCCUUGGUUCUUUUUUGCCCUUUAAUAUCUUAUUUUCUAAGUGUUUAUUUAAUGUCUACUGUUGCAUGAAGAGAGAGUAACGAAAUUUCGAUUCUUGGUAUGUCAUGUACAUAUUGAAGAAUUGACAAUAAAGCUGACUUUGACUUUGCUGGCAUUUACACCUGCAAUAAUUAUAACAAUAAUGCGAAAAUCAACCAUGCUCUCUGUUUACCGUGUCUGACCAGUGAUAAGAAGUUGCUGUGACGUGCUGGAGGUUGAUGUUGACAGUGUCGGUGUCUGAGCUGGUACUGGUGUCGAGCUGGUGCUGGAGAGGAGCCGCUGCUGGUGCUGGAGAGCUGGGGGCUCCAUGACGGACAACUGACUUCCCCUCUCGACGUCCUUUAGUUUGCCCCUAGUUAUGCUGCUAUAGGCCUAGGCUUCUGGGGGACCUCUCUUGAUGUACUGAGCCCUUCUCUAACUACCUAUGUAUUUACUAUAUGUACCAUUACUACAUUACACUCACUCUGUUUCUCCCUGUGUCCUUUCUCUGAGUGUCCCUGGUCCCAGAGCUGGAUGCUUCAGAUCUGUGGUUGUUCUCCCACCAACUGGCCUAAUCUCCAUCAUGUCCACUGUGGGAUGCUGCUGCUGACCUUCCUCCAGCCCACUGCUUCCAGCUGCCCAUUUCCACCAAUCUACUCUGCAUUGCCCUCACUAUACUUGAUUUGCUCAUCUACAUAUUUUUGAAUUUACCACCAGCUAUAUAUGUAGUAUAUUUAAUGCCAGAGCCAUACACCAUAGCAGUAAACUAUAAUCAGUUUCCAUGUUAGUUGUACUUUGCAUGUAUCAUCUGUCUUAUCAUGCAUAUAUCAAAUUGUGUGUUUUAUGGUCCUUGUCAUCCCCCCCACCUCCCCACCUCUCUACCUCUACCCCUCUACCUCUAUCCCUCUACCUCCACCUCUACCCUUCUACCUCUACUCCUUUACCUCCACCUCUCUACCUCUCUACCCCUCUAUCUCUACCCUUCUAUCUCUACCUCUCUACCUCUACCUCUCUACCUCUACCUCCCUAUCUCUACCCCUCUAUCUCUACCUCUAUCCCUCUAUCUCUACCUCUACUCCUCUAUCUCUACCCUUCUAUCUCUACCUCUACCUCUCUACCUCUCUACCUCUACCCCUCUACCUCUACCCCUCUAUCUCUCUACCUCUACCUCUCUAUCUCUACCCCUCUAUCUCUACCUCUCUAUCUCUAUCUCUCUACCCCUCUAUCUCUACCCCUCUACCUCUACCCCUCUACCUCUACCCCUCUACCUCUACCUCUACCUCUUCUGUCCCUCUCAACCCGCCCGGCCAGCAGACAGAUGGGUCCCCCCACAUUAGAGCCGGGUUCUGCUCGAGGUUUUUUUCCCUGUUAAAAGGGUGUUUUCCUUGCCACUGUCACCUUUUGGAGGAGGAAUUUAGUCUCACAAUCACAGACAAUAGAUAUUAUCUGAAAGUUGGGUUAUUGUUUAUCAGCACAAUUCAAAAAGAUUCAUGUUGGAUAUAUUCCAGUUAAGACUCUAGAAUACCAGGAUUUAUGUAAAUUUACCUCAAUAUGAAUGUUCAGGUUAAGAUUGUGCAGUGAUUUUUAUUAUGUAAGUUUAGCUGAUUAAAGUUUAUGAGUGCACUACAAUAUUAUUUAUUAUUUAAGUUUACAUCAUUAUAAUAUUUAAGGUCAGACCCUACAGUAUUGAGAUUAAGAAAUCAACUAUUCUAUAAAAUGUAAAUACACUGAACUCAUUUGGAUAUAUUUAAGUGAGACUCUACAAUAUUAUUUGACACAAAUCUAUCUAAAUCAAAAUUUUGAUAAUUUUUACUCCAAACAUUUACUGGACUGAUUUAAAUAUUAAAAUCACUCCUUUCUAAUCCUCUGCUGUACGUUCAAACCUGAGGCCUUAAAUAGAAACACACAAGUAUCUGAUUGAAGGAAUUUCUGCAGAGUCCUGGUUCCAGAACAUGAUGAUAGAAUUAUAGACAAACUUUAACAAAAGCUGCCUGUGAGUUUACAGGUUUUUAUGUUAGAUUUCUUCAGUAAUUAUCAGCAAAAAUCAAGUGUUCAUUUGAUGAACUUCAUUUCCUGAAACAUCCAGAAUUGGAGCUCAUAUCUUUGGCAGCUGUAAAGUUUCUGCUUCUUCAAAGUUCACAACACAAUGAAUUAAUUCCUAAAACACUCUCAAUGCUGGAGAACGUUUGAUGCUGAAGCAGUGACCAGUUUUUCUGUUUCUUCUCUGGAGAUGCACAAGGAGGGACGUCUGCAGAGACUGAGAAAGAGUCUCACCACAUCCUGACAUGAGGAAAAAGACUUUAUUGAAGACUACAAUGAGAAGAACUAUCAGCAGACGACUUGGAUUCAAGUUUCUGAAGUGACCACAUGGGCGGAGCCAAGGCGGAGUCUGGGUGGAGUCAGGGCGGAGAGUAGGCGGGGAGGUGGGUGGCGGCCUCCCCCCUCUACUCCCCCACCUCCCCCCACCACACCUUCCCCCGCCCGACCAGUUCCUCAAGUCUCCACGAGUUCUUCAAGUCUCCAUGGGUUUUACCGAAUUUCUUGAGUUUCCACGAGAUCGGAGGCAGAACAAGUUGUCAUGAAGAGGUGUUGAAGUCGGCCAGGAUGGACUGACUUUUUAGAGCAACUAGAAGGAAGACCACUAGAAGAGCAGGUCUUUAACCACCAUCCAUAAAAUCCAUGGAGUCAGUUCCAGAGAAAUGAAGGGAGGUCAACUUUUAUCAACCUCCAUCCAGAUGUUCAACUUGAUAUCUUUACUUGGAGAUUUUUAGCACCACAAAUCUUUAGUAUCACACUUUAUUAUCAUUUAUUAGGACUUUCAUGGAAUCCACCAGCAGAUUGAAUUUUUGUUGACAAACUUUAUUCUUGUCGUGGGACUGCAGUAUUUAAAACUGUUCCUUCUAUUUCACCUCAUGUUUAUUAGUUUUAGUGGAGAAAGUUAUUUUAAUUGUCAGUGUCUCAAAAACUAAAUAAUAAAUUGGAUUAGUCAAGAGGUUGAAAUUUUUUACUUUAUCAUAUUUUACAUAUGACAAAAAAAUAUAAAAAUUAAGCGCCUUGAGACAAUUUGACCUGUAAUUGGCGUUAUAUAAAUAAAGUUGAAUUAAAAUUGUAUGUAUCUUGUAAUGUUGGAGUAAUUUAACCAUAUAUGUUGGAAAACACAUUUUCUUUGUCCAUUAAUCUGUUGAUUGCUUUCUGCACUAAUUCAUUUCUUGUUUUGGUUUAUAAAAUGUCAAGCCCAAAUAUA